rnacentral:rRNA from 1 species
ACUCCUACGGGAGGCAGCAGUAAGGAAUAUUGGUCAAUGGACGGAAGUCUGAACCAGCCAUGCCGCGUGCAGGAAGAAGGCGCUCUGCGUUGUAAACUGCUUUUAUAUGGGAAGAAUAGGCGCGAUUUAUCGUGUUGUGACGGUACCAUAGGAAUAAGCACCGGCUAACUCCGUGCCAGCAGCCGCGGUAAUG